rnacentral:rRNA from 1 species
GGAAAAGAACCCACCAGGGAUUGCCCCAGUAACGGCGAGUGAAGCGGCAACAGCUCAGAUUUGAAAUCUGGCCCUUUUCUGGGUCCGAGUUGUAAUCUGUAGAGGAUGCUUUUGGCGACGCGCCUUCCGAGUCCCCUGGAACGGGGCGCCAGAGAGGGUGAGAGCCCCGUAUGGUCGGACGCCGAGCCUUUGUAAAGCUCCUUCGACGAGUCGAGUAGUUUGGGAAUGCUGCUCAAAAUGGGAGGUAAAUUUCUUCUAAAGCUAAAUACCGGCCAGAGACCGAUAGCGCACAAGUAGAGUGAUCGAAAGAUGAAAAGCACUUUGAAAAGAGGGUUAAAUAGCACGUGAAAUUGCUGAAAGGGAAGCGCUUGUGACCAGACUUGUGCCCGGUUGAUCAUCCAGCGUUCUCGCUGGUGCACUCUGCCGGGCUCAGGCCAGCAUCGGCUCUCCCAGGGGGAUAAAGGUCGCGGGAACGUAGCUCUCUCCGGGGAGUGUUAUAGCCCGCGGCGGAAUACCCUUAGGGGGGGUCGAGGCCCGCGUUCGCAAGGAUGCUGGCGUAAUGGUCACCAGCGACCCGUCUUGAAACACGGACCAAGGAGUCAAGCAUUAGGGCGAGUCUUUGGGUGUAAAACCCGCAGGCGCAAUGAAAGUGAACGGAGGUGAGAGCUUCGGCGCAUCAUCGACCGAUCCUGAUGUUCUCGGAUGGAUUUGAGUAAGAGCCUUACCGCUUGGACCCGAAAGAUGGUGAACUAUGCCUGAAUAGGGUGAAGCCAGAGGAAACUCUGGUGGAGGCUCGCAGCGGUUCUGACGUGCAAAUCGAUCGUCAAAUUUGGGCAUGGGGGCGAAAGACUAAUCGAGC